rnacentral:misc_RNA from 1 species
AUUGCGAAGCGACGCGUCAAAGAGUGCAGUGGUGCGACGCCGAUUCACAGUGGUGUACACACAGAGACAAGAAGCAGGUCAAAAAGUCCGCGUGUUCGCUCGAGACAGCUGCUGGAAAACGUUAACUAAGCCAUGAAGAGGCCUUUGCUGACAUCGGUGAUUCUCAUAUAUCUGGCUUCACAAAGUCGUUUUGUUGACACGGCUCCGGCAGAACUAUCCGAAGAUUUAACAAAAGAUGAAGAAACUUUAUCGCCCCUGGACGAAAAUGUAAAAGAGCUUGAAAGUUUAAAGCAAUCAUUUGGUAAGCUGGGAAAGACCCUGGAUUUGAUUAAAUCCCAGUCGACGGAAUUUACGGACCUGAAUGGACGAAAACAAUCGCAUUCAGAAACGAAGGAGGAAAUUUUACAAAACGGUCAGACGGUAGCAAAAGUCCGCCAGAACGUCGAGACCACUUACGAAAAAGAUAAACCGAAGACGAAAAUUAAAACAGAAUUGGAUGUUCCGUCUGAGGGAAUUCACAAAAGUGUGUCACAGUCGCUUCCAGAUGAAGAGCAGAGGAAAAUUGAAACGCGCCGUUCUAACGCUAAUUUGAAUCUGCUAACCGACGAAACUUCAUGGGUUGAUAAGGGUGAGACAGCUACUGGCGUCCGAUAUUCGCCGAUGGAUGUGGCCAAAUACAUUUUUUGGACAGGAGAUGAAAAGGGAGUGACUGCAUCCAUCGAAGAAUUUUUGAGAGAAGAUAUUAUGUCUGGUGAGGAAGCUCUCGCGUUUCUGCAGGAGGUAAAAUAUGAUCUGGAUAAACUAAAGAAUCACUAUAUACAGAUGGGUUUAAACUCUUUACAAAAUACAAAGAUUACGGAUGAGUCACCGCUUCAAUUGGGAAUCAAUGCCAAAGUUGGAGUUUACGACAAGCCUGAAUUAAGGAGUAAUUUCAACAUUAAGCAACUUCGAAAGGAGAUGGACACUUCUCAGAGAGAGAUGAGAAGUAAUGCUGAUGCCACAAGAUCAGAAAAAACAUCAGAAGAAGAUUAUGACGAACUCCUAGAACGUCUUAGAGUUGCAGAUUUUCUCUACACUGAGUACUCCCUGGAAGAAGUUAUCUACCAACUUGCUAAAGUUAUGUUUACACAAAGCUUAACAAGAGGAAGCGCCGAAGCUCAACAGGCACUACAAAAAUUUACGAGUUUUCUAGAAACAGAAGCAGAACAGGGACACAUAUCACGAGCUUUAGAAAAGAAAGUACUUGAUGUUCUUAUAGCAUCACUAUCAGACACCCUCAAUGAGCACCCAGAACUCCUGGCAACGGCCCGAGAAAGCAUGAGUCCUACAGCAACAGCGAUCCAAGGACAUAACUUCAUCAGAAAAGUAUUGGAGUCAAAUUUAGACGACACCAGCCUACGAGAUCUAUAUGAAUUCAAGGAAAAAGCCAAGAACAAGUUGAUCGAACAGAAGAAAAGCAACAAGUUGCCCAAUUACUUGCAGUUCGAUUUUUCGAAGUAUAAAAUGACAUAAAAUAAAUAUUUACAUCAGUAGAGUAUUUGUAACAUACAUUAAUACGUAAUGAUAACUUUGUGUUACAGUAUUGUUCUUUUUUUCUUGCGAUUGAGAAUAAUCUAGAAAGGUUGAAUUAAUUAUGUUAGUUUUUCCACAGUUAAACCGUUGGUAAGUAUAUAAUGGCUCAAAAAAAUUGUCUUUUCUAGAUUAUUCUUAAGACAGAAUUAUUAAAAAACUAUACUUAAGACAGAAUUAUUUCUAAACUUAACUCUUAAGUUUAAUAUCAAAAAUGACAAGUCCUACCCAAAGCAGACGAAUAUUUUUCUUUUCGUACUUUCCGUACAUAUUUAGACAUACCUAUUUUAACUCCUUUCAUUUACCUCUGUUCUGGACUUCUAUAAUCCAGUAUACCUUUUCGAAUAUCACCAUGCCAUCUUAUUACAGGACUUCUUUUGCUCUGAAAUUUUCAUAUAUCGUCGAUUAAAUUGAUUGAAUGCCAUAAAAAUACUUAAAACAAUAAAUGCUUUGGUCUUAACAAAAAAUUUAUUCUUUUAGUUAGAAAGUUAAUUAGAAAAAGCGAUCAAGAACUUAUAAGGUAAAAUUCAUUGAACAACUGGCGACAAAAAAUAAUAUCGAACAAAACUACGGCAGUAUUAUUGUACCAAUACAUCGAGAUUAUGGAGAAAGCUUUAAAAUGACGUAUUACAAAGUUUGAUAUACUCAUUUAUUAUUAAUAUAAUUGCGAAAAAAAAUUCGGAAUUGCAUAAAAAAAUUAUUUUCGCAAUAACUGUUAUAAAAAUUAGUGUACAGCUUUGAAAUUUUUGUCAAAUAAGGGUUCUUUGGUGCUUAAUAUGUGAUAAAAAUUUCAAAGCGAUUCAUUCAAUUGCUUAAAUUUUAUUCAAAUUGUUUAAACCAGAGAGCAUUUUUUUGCAAUAACAUAAGUCAGAAGAAAAUGACGUUAGAACCAUUCCACAUGUGUAAAAUGAGAGAGCAUGAGCUAUAUUUUCAACUUGGUUUAAAAAAAGUGAAUAAGAAAUGCAUUUAUUAGUAAUAAACAAUUAUGCAAAAGUAUGGUAAAUCUUUCCUUAUCAACUUUUGAUUUUGUUAUAUAAGAAAUUAUACAUAUUUAUUACAAUUUUUUAUCAAUUAUGAUGUAGAUAACAUUACUUGGUAGUUGUGCACUUAAAACAGAUACUAAAACAAACAAAAACAGACCUUAAAACAAAUCCGAAAAUUAAACCAAACAUAGCUACUCGGGGAGCAAGGACCUUUCUCGUCUUUGCGGAAGAUGUGGAUGUAAAUAGUGCGACAAUCAACAUUAGUGAAGACGGAUAUUUUAUUGACAUUUGAAGAAGCUGCAUUAAAUAUCGGUCUAAAGGGAAAUGAAGACAAAACAAAAUACAUGGUCAUUUCAAAACAAGAACGGUUGCGAAUGAGGUAAAAUGUUACUAUAGACGAUCAUGACGUUUCAGUGGUUAAAGCUUUUAAAGAUCUAGGAGCAACAAUAAGAAAUGACAACAAAGUAGAACAAGAAGUUGAAACGCGACUAAUGGUGGGAAACUUUCUUUGCAAUGCAACAUCUAAUAAGGUUAAAACUUCGCUCAUAUAGUGCAAGAAUUACAAUAUACAAAAACAUAACACGACCAGCAGUCGCGUAUGCCAGUGAAACUUAAACGCUAAUAAAAAAUGUAAUAAAUGAAUUGCUAGUGAAUCCUUCGAAUUAUAUAUGGUCCUUGCAUAGAUAGCGUGGCAAGCGAAUGGAGGCGCAGACAUAUAGAGUUAAAAUUUCUCCAAGAGGAAAAUUUACUGAGGUAAGUAUAUAAAGGCCAAUAGACUAGGAGGAACAGAUGUUAUAUGCAAUAAUGGCAAUAGCCUUGUAAACAAUGUGUUUAUGCCCUAAAAAAAGGUGGAACGAUGCAGUAGGAGAGGACCUGGAGAAUAUGGGAGUGAGAUAAUGGGAAAUAAUGGCAUAGGACCGACAAACAUGGUAGGCAAUAGUAAACUCAGCAAACACACGAAGAUUUAUAACGCCAUUGAGAAUGGUGCAGAUUAUACCUGGUAUUGCUUCUUCCAUGUAUUACUGAGUUUAUGAACAAUUUUCUAUGCGUGUCUAAUUUUCUAUUCCAUAUAUCACAAGUGAAAGUAACCAUUGCUUAAGUAUUCCGAUUUUUCAUUCUCAUUGUCUGCCGUAAGUACGUUAAUAUGUAUGUUGCUGUGUUAAUGAUUUGUUCCUGGGUUAUCAGAAAUAUUUUGUUUUACGCGUGUUUACUUUUAGUCUUAUCUCUUCUGAUUGUUCUCGUACUUAUAGCAUCCCUUUUGCAGAGAUUUUUUGCGUUUAAUACGGUUUUAUCGGAGUAGUAUUAUAUAAAAAAUUCUGUCUUAACACUAUUUAGAAUUAUUUGAACUAUAUAUGUUUAUAUUUAUUUACAUAGCUAUAAAAUUAGUUGCAUAAGAUAUCUUAAUACUUGUUUUGUAGUACCAUUUUUACAUUCCCUCCAAAUGAACAUAGAAGAAUAGUUACUACCUAUAUUGGGACCCAUUUAACAAGAAACUCCCAAAUUAAUGGCUCAAUAUUACUGUAAUAUUAGAGAAGCACCUAUAUACAAAUAAUUGCUAGUGUAUACGUAAAAAAGUAGCUAAAGAAUUAAUUUUAAGAGCCUCUUAAAGUUUUAGCAUCUUUAAACUGUCAGUACGAUUAUUGCCACGAUAUUUUAAGAGAAAAAUACGUAAAAGUUAUACUUAUUGAAAUAAGAAUAUGAAAGAAAGAAAAAGAAGACAAUCUAUAUAAGCGAGCUUCCUAUACAAUUAUAAAACUGGCAAAUAUUUUAUGUAGAUAUUCAUAUUCAAAUCAGGCAACAAUUUUUUUGUCCGUCAUUCUAGUAAAGUGACUGUCCCUUUUUUUUCUGCUUAGUGUAUGCUCGUUUAUACCCUAUACAUUAACAUUUUGUUCGGAUCCAGUGCCGGAUUAACCAUUAGGCAAAGUAGGCGGUUGCCUAGAGGCCUCGACCCUAAAUGGGGCCUCGUGCCUGGUAGCCCUAAAACGAAAAAAUAAUAAUUAUAAUUAAAUGAAAACUAUAAAUCACAUAUAUUGAAAAAUUCAAAUAUCGCCCAAUACCAUAAACUCGGUUUCACACGGAAAUCCACAGCUAGUGAAGCCACCAAUGAAAAAUCACGUGAUGAAAUAGAAAAAGCUGAGGAAAACAUCGCUUCCGUAACUGAAGAAGAUGAAAAAAACAUACAAUGUCAGUUAUAUUCCAGCUCAAGAAAAGAACCAAAAACUAAGCUAAGUUAGAAAUUGAAGUUACAGGUAAAUUGGGCCCAGAAUUCGGAAACAACGUAGGAUUAUGGAAUACCAUAACUGAAGAAAUAUGGAAAUUUUGGAUUGGGAAAGGUUCUUCAGAAUGAAAAAAUCUUGAUGGAAGCUUUUCAGCACCAAAAAGAAAUUUUGAGGGCAUUACACAAGAUUUUUACACAAUCUAAGGUUUUUAGAAAAUAUAUCAGUGUAACAAAAAUUCAAAGAGAUUGGUUAGCGUACUCUUCCUCAAAUGAAAAUGUUUACUGCUUUCCAUGUAUACUUUUUGGCGAACAUGGCUAACAUUUGGCGAACACUCAUCGACAAGCAGCGCCUUCGUGGUCGAAUUGACAACUCUUUGGAAAUUUAAUUUGAUCAAGAACGAGGUUACUGGAUUCUUGUUUUAUCUUUUCGCGGAUUAACAUUUAGAAGUGAUACAGAGAUCUUUCGUUCACAAAAUAAUGGGAACUAGUUAAUCAUAUUAGAGCUACUUACAGAGUACGAUCCUCUUUAAGCUAAGUAUGGCAAUAACGGUACUGGAAAGCCUUCUUACUUAUCUUCAAAUAUCUGGGUAGAAGUAAUGAGAAAACACGUUUUGAAUACAAUUGUUAAAGAAGGAAGCCAAAUACUACUCCUUAAGUGUCGAUUCAAUACCAGAUUUGUCUCAUAUUGACCAGUUGACUAUUUAUUAAGAUAUCUAAAUCCAGCUGAUGGUAAAGUGUAUGAAGGUUUUCUAACAUUCAUACCCAUAAGUAGCGAUACUGGAUAAAAUCUUUUUUAUGCUGUUUUAAUCGUUUAAACCGACUGGGGCAUUGAUGUAAACGACAUGAGGAGACAAUCAUUCAGCAAACAUGUUAGGUAAAUAAUAUAAUGGUAUCCAGGCUCGCACACUCGCUUAAUUUAAUUGGAGUAAGUGCUGCUGAAAGUUGCGUUGGAGUAAUAUCGUAUUUUGAGUUUGUUCAGUCCGCGUACAACAUUUUUUCAGCCUCUACCCACCGUUGGAAAGUUAUGAUCAAAUGCUUAAAUGAAACUUCACUAAGCGAUCCCAUUCACCACAAUCUAGUCAUUAAAAGAACAAGCAGCAUAAGAUGGAGUGCAAGGACUGACGCAACAAGAGCUUUGUCUAGAGGCUACAACGUCUUUAAAUCUCCUGUGCAGUCUCUUGCUGAAAACACUAAUGAAGAGGAUAAAACAGUUUAAGAUGCUAAGUGUUUGUUUUGGGCAAUAUUUUAGAACGGAUUAACGCUGUUAGUAAAUCAUCACAGAGAGAAGAGAUUGAACUUAAAACUGCAGAUGGAGGAUGGAGAUGGAUGGGUUAAUCGAGGUGGUUUUGGAGGGAGAAGGCGGAGACCUUAAGGGGCCUCAUAGCUUGGGUUGCCUAAUGUCUAGGGGCCUAAAGAUUCUUAAUCCGGGACUGUUCAGAUCUCGUCACUCCAUAUUCGAUCUUUCAGCGGGCUUCCUGUAAUUCUUGUGAAUGUUCUUAUUUCGGCUGUUUCGUAUUUUCUGCAUAGGUACUCUGUGUAUAUUUUGGCUGUUUCCGGCCUUGUUUUUGUUGCAUAUGUCAUUAUUUGUCUUAUAGUGGCCUUAUACACUCUUGAUUUCAUCUCAGUGUUAUUGUGUCGGUUAUGCCAUUUAGUGUUAUGAAGGUAUCCCGCUAAUCUAUUUGCUCUUUGUAUUAAUUUGAUCUUUUAUUUAUUUUUCAGCAUCUCUGUGGCUGGACUACUCUCGUGGUAAGACUAGUUGGUCAUCUACAUUUGUCUACCACCCAAUAUUAUCUCUAAUACUUUAUUCUUCUCUACCAUUUUAUCUUUAAAAAGGCUAAGAAUUAAAGGAAAAUAAUUCCUUUAAAUCUUAGCUUCUCCUUUUUCUUCUACUAUUCUAGUAUUUUUUACAGUAUUUCAUCAACUUCAGUCAAUCAUUAACCAUUCAUUUAACCUCAAUGUCCUCAACUAUGGCAAUAUUAUUUUGUAUAAAAUAACAUUAAAAAUAUUACUUAUAGACAUUCAUAUACGAACUUUUUUCGCUUCAAAAGAGCAAAAUGUGUCAAAAUACAGGUAGAAAAUAUUCUUUCCAUUUUUUCACUUUUAAAACAUUCUUUUUCGACAAGUUUCUCAUCUCAUUAACUGCAUAUUUCUUUACAGCUUAUUUAAAAUAGAUGUAUUAUGUUAUAGAAAAUAGUACCUAAUCAUUUUAGAUAAAUCUUACUAAGAGUACCUUAAAGUAAUUUAUUACAACAUUAUCUUCCAACAGUAACAGAAAAAACAUGGAUCGUUCUAAGAUAUUGACUUGAUUUUUUAUUGCUUUAAACUUUUUGUAUUAGCUGGGGAGAUUUCCUGGAGAAUAUGUUAUCUUCUUUUGUAGUGUAAGUGUAAGUCUUUUUUAACAAAUAGAAGGAAACGAACAACAUACGUGAAUCUAGUAAAUACAAAAUCAAACUCUUAUCUUACAAUUUAUGGAAAUAUAGUAAUUGCAUUCAGACAUACAUCAGAGAGAGAAACUACAGAAGUUAUGUAAAUAAAAAAUAGACAAAUCAUUUGAGUGGUUAGCGUACAAAGGCACCAUCCACUUUGAUGACCAUAAACGAAAACGAUUUAAUAAUCUAUUUUUUACGAAAUUCGAAAUGUGCAAAAGUUUACAUUUUUUGGCAAAAGCUUGCUAAAGUUUUGACCAAUAAAGCCAAUAGGUGGCGUAGAAGAACAAUAAUUCGUCAACCUCUCGUGUUUGGAUCGAUAAUCAACAUAAUUUUAUUCGAUAAUAAGACAAUCAAAUCUGUGAGAAUCAUCGCCAUAUAGGUUUAGGAUAAGACAGUUCUAAUAUAGUGUAUUAUAAGAAGAUCUAUAUCCAAUAGUGUUGAAAUGGCAAUUAAAAACUGAGUGGGAGAUAGAAAAUUUUAAUUUAGAAUCUAAAACAUUUUGUGUUGCCAUUAUUUACCAUAGCCUACAAUUUGAAAAAUUAAAAAUAUAAUACCACAAUUCUGUGUGAAAAAAUAAUUAUAAAGGGUGUUUCAUUAAUAAUUGUCCAUAUAGUAACUGGAAAAACCUUAGCACAAAAUACGAAGAUUUAACCUAAAACACUUAAAUAAAAUGUGGUUCCUUACUGAGUUACAGGGUGUUUUAUCUAAAACUUUAAAAACUAUUUUUGCUUAGAAUUUUAAAACUAUUCGACGUAUCCUAUUCAUACUUGUCAAAAAGUGCGACUACUAGACACCCUACUAAAGUAUGAUAAACAAAGGUUUCUAGCUACUACCAGAGGCGUACGACAAGGGAUGGUGAAUGGUUGACCCUUCCCAAAUUCUACGCCACUGGAGGAAUUACGAUUUUAGUGCUAUUUUUAGAUUAUCCAAUACUUUUGACGUAAAUAAUAUACUCUUCAUUGGUAACGAUAGUCAUUAGUUUUCGAGAUAUUUGAAGUUAAAUAUGAGACGGCACAGUUAUUUUGAUUAAUUUAUGAUAUAAUUCAUAUGAUUAAAAUUUAAAAAUUAUUUUUACCCAGUACUUUAAAACUAUUUGGCAUAUCCUUAUCAUACUUGGCAAAAAGUGUAGGUAUUGUGCACCCUACUAAAUUAAGAUAAAUAAACGUUUCUAGCUACUACCAGAGGCGUACGACAGGGGAUAGUGGCUGGUUGACCCUUCCCAAAUUCUACGCCACAGACGAAAUUGCUAUUUUUGUGUAAUUUUUUGAUUUUGCAAUACUUUUUAUGUAAAUAAUAUACUCUUUAUUCGUAACGAUAAAAUGAUUAGUUUUCGAGAUAUUUGAAAUUAAAAAUGAAGCGACACAUUACAUUAAUCAAAAUAACCGUGUCGUUUCAUUUUUAACUUCAAAGAUCUCGGAAACUAAUGCCUUUAUCGUUACGAAUGAAGAGUAUAUUAUUUUCAUAGAAAGUAUUGGAGAAUCCGAAAAUUUAACUAAAAUAGCAAUUUCGCCAGUGGCGUAGAAUUUGGAAAGGGUCAACCAUUCACUUUCCCCCGUCGUACGCCUCUGGUAAUAGCCAGAAACGUUUGUUUAACAUAAUUUAGUAGUUUGUAUAGUACCUAUACUACAUGCCAAGUAUGAAAAGGAUACGUCGAAUAGUUUGAAAAUGCUGAGGAAAAAUAAUUUUUAAAUUUUUAGAUAAAACACCCUGUAACUAAGUAAGGAACCACAUUUUAUUUUAGUGUUUUAGGUUAAAUCUUCGUAUUUUGUGCUUAGGUUUCUCCAGUUACUAUAUGGACAAUUAUUAAUGAAACACCCUGUAUAUAAUACCUAAAUGCACUAAGAAUGAAUUUAAGAAUAUCAUUUUAAGUUGAUAAAACAUAUCAGUGUAAGAUUAAGAAGAUCCAAGUUGGUAUACAGCAAAAUUCGCAAAUAAGUUAUGAAGAAGAGAAUUUAUCUAGAUAGACACUUUGCACAGAAGCUUAAAACUUAUAUUAUAAACUCAGUGACAUCUUUAAUCUCUACAAGAAAAUUGAGGAUAUUCGAUAAAAAAAGAUACAUAAUGACCAAGAUGAACUAGGAAUGGAUCCUGAUUCAUAUCCAUACAUUUCUGGGUCAGCAGCACAGUUUAGUUAGAUGCUACAUAUCCCUAGUGUUUUUAUGAAUCAUAGACACUUGCAGAUACAGCUGCGUACAGCGUGUAUUGGAGACCGUCGAUUAAAUCAAUGAAAUACUGAAAGGCGCAGUAUGUAGAAAUUGUUUCUUCAGAAAACUCUAACAAACAUGAAGCCUUGAGAAUAUAUCUGAGAAAGCUCUUCAAUAUAAACACUAUUUACAUACACAUUUUACUGAUGUUGUCCAUUAAGAAAAAAUGUUCAACAGAAUGCUCUUGUCAAUAUAAUUUGUAGUAGUUAUUUUGAAUAACUUAAUUCUUUCCAUAUGCCGGUGUCUUGUGGGAGUUAAGGAGACCUAUGUCCAGUAGUGAACGUAUACAGGUUUAUGAUGAUGAUGAUGAUGGCGAUGAUUUUGGAUGACAUAGGUCUGGAUCGACGAUGAAUUCAGAUAAUAGCCGGUUUGUACUGCUAUCAGCUAUCUGACAUUAAAAUUAAAGGACAGAGGUCCAAAGAUUAGGAGGAAUAGUCUAUCUCCGGUUUUGUUCAAUUUAUUUGAGAAAAGACGUUUGAAUAAGCUCUGCAAUACAGAACAGAAGAUAUAAUUGCCAACCGAGGAAUAUUCAACAACUUAAGAUAUUCUGAAGGCACAGUUUUGCUAUCCAUGGAUCAAAAUGAUUUAUAGAUUGUAGAUACUUCUAUCAGUGGCACCAGACAAUAGUAAACAAAUAUAGUUAUUUGAAAGUUAAUACAAAGAAAACCAAAUAAAUGACUAUCAGCCAAAAAUAUAGCUAACAAGCCAUAUGAUAUCAGACUAGAUGGAAAAACAAAAAAUGAAAAGUCGGAUUUAUCUCAGGAAAUUAGAAAAUUAAAAACAGGAUUGUAAAAGCCAGGGUGAUGGACUAUCGUGUCUCUGAUUUAACCUGGCAUUAGAAAAAAAUAAUUCGAGAGUCCCAGAUUCCUACGAAUACGAAUGGUACUUUCUUUAACAAAUCAGUACAAACUCUCGGAUACGCAGAUGACAUACACAUCAUAGAUAGAUCCAAAGAAUCUCUGACUGAAGCAUUUCAAAAGAAGAUGAAUGUUCAAAAGACCAAAUAUAUGUGUUGCACUAGGUCAAGCAACCCGACACCUAUGUACAAGAAUAAUAAUUGAUGAUCUAGAACUAGAAGGUGUCGACACCUUCAUAUACUUAGGUUCACUGCUAACUAAAGAUAAAAAUGUCAGUGAAGAAAUUAAAAGAAGAAUAGUGCCCGCCAAUAAGUGUUACUAUGGCUUAAGAAGACAGAUGGCCUCAGAAAUACCUAGAAAAAUUAAAUUGAGUAUAUACAAAACACUUAUAAGACCAGUGCUAACAAAUAUGGUUCACAAACUUGGUCACUUACACAGAAUGACCAAGAACUGCUCAAACGUUUUGAGCGAAAACUCGAAGCGAAGACUAGACUAAGAAUAUAUCGAGGCAUAAAAGAACAAGGUUUGUGGCGCAGGUAUUACAACUUUGAGUUGUAUAGAAGUUUUGGAGAACCUGACGUUGUAAAAUGCAUUAAGGUAGCACGCCUUAGAUGGAUAGGUCAUGUAGUCAGACGAGAGGAAGAUGCCAUAGUCAGAAAAGUUUUUGACCGAAGAGGGCCGAUAGGAGAACGAGCAAGAGGACGACCGAGACUUAGGUACCAACACAACCUAGAAAAUAACUUGAAAUCUAUUGGAAUUAGAGCAUGGAGAAUAGUUGCCAGAGACAGAGGCGAACGGAGGAUUGUUCUGAAGAAGGCUUUGGCUCAUAAAGAACUGUAACGCCACUGAUGAUGGUGAUGAUUGUAAAAGCUAAAACAUUAUUUAGAAGAUGCAAAACGUUUAACCAACAAAGGGCGAUGAAUUACUAUAAGAAUGCGGUUAAUCAGCAUUUUGCUGAAUGAAAGCAUGUCCUUUCAGUGAAGUAAUGUGUAAAAGAAUUGAGGCCUCUGAGAUGUGAGCGGAAAAAUGAGGAUAUCGUAGAUCAACAGAGUGACAAAUAAAGAAGUUUUGCAGCGUCUAUAAAGAUAAAUUCUGCGUACCAUAAAAAGGAAAAAGUUGAAAUACUUUGCCGCGUGAUGAGAAAUCCCAAAUAUGAAGUAGGUACUACAUGUAAUUAUUCAGAGAAAAAUAUAAAGCAAACGUGGUUAUGCAUGACGAAGAACAUACUGGCUCAAGAAACUCUCCCAGUGGUAUAGAGUCAGCAACAUGACAUUAUUUAGGUCCCCUGAGGACAAAGUAACGAUCAUGUGACAUGCGACUGGUCGCCAAUGUUCUGGGAGGACAAGACACUUAAAGAAGAAGAAAAAUCGUUUUGGCAUUAUAAAAAAAAGUUUUAAGACUAAAAUCGUUUUAUUAUUUAAUAUUAUUUUGUUACUGAUUUAAAUUAUUUUAUUUGUAUCUUACAGCGGUCCAUGUGGCGCAUUUUUGAUCUCAUGUAGUGACUAUAUUUAUGUACGACAUAAUAUCAAUUCGUAGGUAUAAUAGGAGAAUAAUGUCCACUAACCGUACUUAUUUUAAAGGACCAAAUACCUAAUAUAUCUCUUAAAACAGCUUGAUGUACUGACAUAUACAUUCUACACUGUAAAAAAGGAACUAUUAGUUUUGUUUAGGAUAAUUUGACUGAGAACGUAAGUGCUGGAAAAUGUAUAUAUUAUAGAGGUUAUUAUAAACAGAAAUUUAAUAAAUGUAUAAAUGCA